GACGUAGGUGGCGAACGUUAUCCGGAAUUAUUGGGCGUAAAGGGUGCGUAGGUGGCCAACUAAGUCAGACGUGAAAUCCCCAGGCUCAACCUGGGAACUGCGUCUGAUACUGGAUGGCUUGAAUUCGGGAGAGGGAUGCAGAAUUCCUGGUGUAGCGGUGAAAUGCGCAGAUAUCAGGAGGAACACCGGUGGCGAAGGCGCCACUCUGGGCCGAAACUGACGCUGAGGAGCGAAAGCGUGGGUAGCAAACAGG
rnacentral:rRNA from 1 species